GAUGAACGCUGGCGGCGUGCCUAAUACAUGCAAGUCGAGCGAACAGACGAGGAGCUUGCUCCUCUGACGUUAGCGGCGGACGGGUGAGUAACACGUGGAUAACCUACCUAUAAGACUGGGAUAACUUCGGGAAACCGGAGCUAAUACCGGAUAAUAUUUUGAACCGCAUGGUUCAAUAGUGAAAGACGGUUUUGCUGUCACUUAUAGAUGGAUCCGCGCCGCAUUAGCUAGUUGGUAAGGUAACGGCUUACCAAGGCGACGAUGCGUAGCCGACCUGAGAGGGGGAUCGGCCACACUGGAACUGAGACACGGUCCAGACUCCUACGGGAGGCAGCAGUAGGGAAUCUUCCGCAAUGGGCGAAAGCCUGACGGAGCAACGCCGCGUGAGUGAUGAAGGUCUUCGGAUCGUAAAACUCUGUUAUUAGGGAAGAACAAAUGUGUAAGUAACUAUGCACGUCUUGACGGUACCUAAUCAGAAAGCCACGGCUAACUACGUG
rnacentral:rRNA from 1 species